GCCGAAGGUGGGGCUGAUGACUGGGGUGAAGUCGUAACAAGGUAGCCGUACCGGAAGGUGCGGCUGGAUCACCUCCUAACAGGGAGACAAAACUGGUCAUUAUGUCUGAGUACAAAUACCCUUAGACAAUGAUCCUGUCACCUUAGGUCGAUCGGUACCUCAGGCUAAUUUUUAUUAGUUAGUUUUAGUUCCUAAACUUGUCUAGGUCACACCCCAUAAGGGUUACUCCUGGGCCAUUAGCUCAGGUGGUUAGAGCGCACCCCUGAUAAGGGUGAGGUCCCUGGUUCAAGUCCAGGAUGGCCCAUUCGGUGUUUGGGGGUUUAGCUCAGUUGGUAGAGCGCCUGCUUUGCAAGCAGGAUGUCAGCGGUUCGAGUCCGCUAACCUCCACUGACCGACCUCCUGCAGCGACUUGAUAUCGAGGGCUUUUAUGGUGGAUAUGUGACUUGGACUUAUUAAGCUGACGGAACCUAGCUUCCUCUCAUUCCAAACUUAAAAUUCAAUAAGUUUUGGUUGAAAGGAUGCUGGGCUCACUGUGAUCUUUAAAGAUUGCAGAGACGUUCGGCAGAACCUUGACAACUGCAUAGUGAGUCUGGAAAGAAUAAAGCAUCUCAUGGAUAGUUUAUUCUUAAGGACAUAGAUAUUAGAAAUCUUCUUUUAUAGAAUGUUUCUGUAUAUAGCCUUUUGAAUAAAAAAUUCUUGAGUUUUAAGAGUCAAAACUCUAUAUCCUAGCUUGUUAAUUCUAAGCUUAAGUAUAUAGAGAUUAAUUGGUCAAGCUACAAAGGGCUCAC
rnacentral:misc_RNA from 1 species